rnacentral:rRNA from 1 species
CCUACGGGAGGCAGCAGUGAGGAAUAUUGGUCAAUGGACGCAAGUCUGAACCAGCCAUGCCGCGUGCAGGAAGACGGCUCUAUGAGUUGUAAACUGCUUUUGUACGAGGGUAAAUCCCGAUACGCGUAUCUGGUUGAAAGUAUCGUACGAAUAAGGAUCGGCUAACUCCGUGCCAGCAGCCGCGGUAAUACGGAGGAUUCAAGCGUUAUCCGGAUUUAUUGGGUUUAAAGGGUGCGUAGGCGGUUCGAUAAGUUAGAGGUGAAAUCCCGGGGCUCAACUCCGGCACUGCCUCUGAUACUGUCGGGCUAGAGAUUAGUUGCGGUAGGCGGAAUGUAUGGUGUAGCGGUGAAAUGCAUAGAGAUCAUACAGAACACCGAUUGCGAAGGCAGCUUACCAAGCUACGUCUGACGUUGAGGCACGAAAGCGUGGGGAGCAAACAGGAUUAGAUACCCCGGUAGUC